rnacentral:lncRNA from 1 species
AGAAAACGUACUGGUAUCAGUAAACUAUAAGCACUGACGCGGCCAGUGAGGCUUAGGAGAUGUGCGUGCACGUUAAUGGAGGUCCAGCGUAUGGUAUGGUAUAGUAUAGUCGCUCCUCCGCAGGCCACGGGUCUGCACUCGUCUUUGCGACCUUGGAAUCGUCAAUGGCGAAUAGUCAAGACAUGUACUGUGGUAUAUGUCCUGCUCCUAGGAAGG